AACGAACGCUGGCGGCAGGCUUAACACAUGCAAGUCGAGCGCCCCGCAAGGGGAGCGGCAGACGGGUGAGUAACGCGUGGGAAUCUACCCUUUUCUACGGAAUAACGCAGGGAAACUUGCGCUAAUACCGUAUGAGCCCUUCGGGGGAAAGAUUUAUCGGGAAAGGAUGAGCCCGCGUUGGAUUAGCUAGUUGGUGGGGUAAAGGCCUACCAAGGCGACGAUCCAUAGCUGGUCUGAGAGGAUGAUCAGCCACAUUGGGACUGAGACACGGCCCAAACUCCUACGGGAGGCAGCAGUGGGGAAUAUUGGACAAUGGGCGCAAGCCUGAUCCAGCCAUGCCGCGUGAGUGAUGAAGGCCCUAGGGUUGUAAAGCUCUUUCACCGGUGAAGAUAAUGACGGUAACCGGAGAAGAAGCCCCGGCUAACUUCGUGCCAGCCGCCGCUGUAACAC
rnacentral:rRNA from 1 species